UACGGAGGGGCUAGCGUUGUUCGGAAUUACUGGGCGUAAAGCGCACGUAGGCGGCUUUGUAAGUUAGAGGUGAAAGCCUGGGGCUCAACCCCAGAAUUGACCUUUAAGACUGCAUCGCUUGAAUCCGGGAGAGGUGAGUGGAACUGCGAAGUGUAGAGGUGAAAUUCGAUAGAUAUUCGCGAAGAACACCAGGUGGCGAAGGCGGCUCACUGGCCCGGUA
rnacentral:rRNA from 1 species